rnacentral:rRNA from 1 species
UACGUAGGGGGCGAGCGUUGUCCGGAUUUAUUGGGUGUAAAGGGUGCGUAGACGGAUAGUUAAGUUGGUUGUGAAAUCCCCAGGCUCAACUUGGGAACUGCAACCAAAACUGACAAUCUUGAGUAUAGGAGAGGAAAGUGGAAUUCCUAGUGUAGCGGUGAAAUGCGUAGAGAUUAGGAGGAACACCAGUGGCGAAGGCGACUUUCUGGACUAAAACUGACGUUGAGGCACGAAAGUGUGGGGAGCAAAC